GGCUUAGAGUUUGAUCAUGGCUCAGGAUGAACGCUGGCGGCGUGCCUAACACAUGCAAGUCGAACGAAGCACUUAUCUUUGAUUCUUUCGGGAUGAAGAGAUAUUUGACUGAGUGGCGGACGGGUGAGUAACGCGUGGGUAACCUGCCUCAUACAGGGGGAUAGCAGUUAGAAAUGACUGCUAAUACCGCAUAAGCGCACGGAAUCGCAUGAUUCAGUGUGAAAAGCCGAGACGGUAUGAGAUGGACCCGCGUCUGAUUAGGUAGUUGGUGAGGUAACGGCCCACCAAGCCGACGAUCAGUAGCCGACCUGAGAGGGUGACCGGCCACAUUGGGACUGAGACACGGCCCAAACUCCUACGGGAGGCAGCAGUGGGGAAUAUUGCACAAUGGGGGAAACCCUGAUGCAGCGACGCCGCGUGAAGGAAGAAGUAUUUCGGUAUGUAAACUUCUAUCAGCAGGGAAGAAAAUGACGGUACCUGACUAAGAAGCCCCGGCUAACUACGUGCCAGCAGCCGCGGUAAUACGUAGGGGGCAAGCGUUAUCCGGAUUUACUGGGUGUAAAGGGAGCGUAGGCGGUCUGACAAGUCAGAAGUGAAAGCCCGGGGCUCAACCUCGGGACUGCUUUUGAAACUGCCGGACUAGAUUGCAGGAGAGGUAAGUG
rnacentral:rRNA from 1 species